AGUGAACGCUGGCGGUAGGCCUAACACAUGCAAGUCGAACGGCAGCACAGUAAGAGCUUGCUCUUACCGAUGGCGAGUGGCGGACGGGUGACGAAUACAUCGGAAUCUACUUUUUCGUGGGGGAUAACGUAGGGAAACUUACGCUAAUACCGCAUACCAUCUACCGUUGAAAGCAGUGGAUCUUCGGACCUUUCGCGAUUGAAUGAGCCGAUGUCGGGUUAGCUAGUUGGCGGGGUAAAGGCCUACCCAGGCGACGAUCGGUAGCCGGACUGAGAGGAUGAUCGGCCACACUGGAACUGAGACACGGUCCAGACUCCUACGGGAGGCAGCAGUGGGGAAUAUUAGACAAUGGGCGCAAGCCUGAUCCAGCCAGACCGCGUGGGUGAAGAAGGCCUUCGGGUUGUAAAGCCCUCUUGUUGGGAAAGAAAAGCAGUAGGUUAAUACGCCGCUGUUCUGACGGUACCGAAAGAAUAAGCACCGGCUAACUACGUG
rnacentral:rRNA from 1 species